UUAACUGGGAAUACAAUACUAAGAUAAUAAACACUGACCAGAAAUAUAAAACAAAACCAGAACAGAAUACAAGCAGGGCAAUCUUUCAAAGGGAGGCAGAUUAGAAAAACACAUGGGAUAGAAACCCAUUAAUUACAAAUAAACACCCAUGAAUAAGAGAGUUGUAUUUUUUGCCGCAUACUCAGCCCAAUGAGCUUUGCGGCAGUCCAGGGAGUAGGGGAAACACACAAGGUUUGAAGGACCGAGAGGAGGAAACAAAUGUCUGCUAGCCAAAUGGGGAAAGGUCACAAAGGGAGGGGUCAGAGACCAUCGACCCUGACAGGUAUUAUGUCUGUAGGCAUAUUGGUCUUUGGCCAGAGCAUUUGGAAUUGUAGCUUUGAUGUGUGAGAAUACCAGCCUCUCCAAGCAUUUGGUAGUAAUAGCGCUUACAGGAUGAGGCAGCAGACAGGACUGGAGCACUGCAACCUGUCAUGUCAACUUCUACAGUAUGUUACUCUGAGCUCUGGGUUUCUAUGGACGCACUUGACUUUCAAAAUGCAUUUCAGGGUGACCGUGAGGCUAAGAAGAACAGGCAAGACAGAGACCCCCGGGGACGGGAUGCCAGUCCUUUACAGGACACACACAAUGAAGAGAAAAUUACAAAAUGAUAGGCAUGUGUUUCUGGAGUAUGGGGGGGAAGCAGGUGUACUGGGAGGAAACUCAUACACAAACACUGGCAGAAUAUGCAAAUUAUUCCCAUCAAGGUAGGAUUCAAACCCCCCACGGAGAGGGAUCUAAGGAUUUUCUCACCAAGCUACCACGCCACCCUCAGUAUAAACCGUUCAUCUGUAAUCGCACUGCAAUAUUGUAAUGUGAGCAGUGUCACAUGUGAUGGAGUGACACGGGAUCUCGUCUGAUUUGUGAGACCAUCAUGGAUAAGUGGGUUAGCCGUGUUUCAAGUGCAGGAGGAUGGAGAGAUGAUGAAGGACACCACUCAGC